AACGAACGCUGGCGGCAGGCUUAACACAUGCAAGUCGAGCGCGUAGCAAUACGAGCGGCAGACGGGUGAGUAACGCGUGGGAAUCUACCGUACCCUACGGAAUAGCUCUGGGAAACUGGAGGUAAUACCGUAUACGCCCUAACGGGGAAAGAUUUAUCGGGGUAUGAUGAGCCCGCGUUGGAUUAGCUAGUUGGUGGGGUAAAGGCUUACCAAGGCGACGAUCCAUAGCUGGUCUGAGAGGAUGAUCAGCCACAUUGGGACUGAGACACGGCCCAAACUCCUACGGGAGGCAGCAGUGGGGAAUAUUGGACAAUGGGCGCAAGCCUGAUCCAGCCAUGCCGCGUGAGUGAUGAAGGUCUUAGGAUUGUAAAGCUCUUUCACCGAUGAAGAUAAUGACGGUAGUCGGAGAAGAAGCCCCGGCUAACUUCGUGCCAGCCGCCGCCGUAA
rnacentral:rRNA from 1 species